rnacentral:lncRNA from 1 species
UUUUUGUAUAGACCCAGGUCCUGAGAUGCAGUCGGUGUGUGAAAUGCCUGGGGAUUUCCAGGCACGCUGCAAGUGCUCAGCUCUUCUCCAGAGAUGUGCCCUUGCUAGCAGAGGUGGGAUGGGAGCUGGAGCAGUGAACUGCUGAUUCUGGUCCUGGACGUGAUGCUGGCCCCUUCUGCUGCAGGAUUUCCAUUUGUACAACCAGAAGAGCAACUCCUCAUAUAGUCCCCAAGGGUGCUGUGAGACUCACCCUGGCCGCUGACAGAUGAACUCUGGAGGAUCUCGCUCAGGACUGAAAACUAUUCCCAGCUGUCCCUUCCCCUCCCACGGCUGCCCUCAGAGAAUUCAAGGCCAGCAGAGAAAACUCAGCUCCUUCCAUGAAAGAUCCAAGGUCUCAAAUUUACUGGCACCGUGGAAAGCUGUGGGCAGCUACUUCAAACCCCAGUACAGCAGGAGACAUAGAGGAUUGCCUGUCAGCUUCUCAGGCUGCCCCAGUCUGUAGCCUACUUCCUGCACCUGGACACAGCACAAAGAUGUUAUGGCUUUCAGGAAGCAGCACAUUUGUCAGCAUGCAGCCCCCAGCCGAACAAAGGGCUGGAUUCAUUAAUGCAAUAUCAACCAUGAAAACGUCCCUCCUCUGCCCCUCCCUGGCUUCUGACUCAAUCUGCUGAAACAAAAAAAUGAAUUGUCAUUGGAUUUUGCAGCCUUUGAGGUUCCUCAGCAGAUCAAUGCAUCUUGGACGUGUUGAUGGCCCCUAAUUUGAAUGAAGCUGCACAAGAAUCACAAGAAUUUGAGCUAGAUUGCGAGCCACAUUUUUUUUAUUAUUAUUCCUAAUAAGGAGAAGUAAUAUAAAACUGCUACCAAAGAAGAGAUGAGAGACGGUCUCUGCAGCAGGGAAAGGUAAGCGUGCAGUCAAUUACAGUCAGUUCUGACUCGGCUCCCACACAGCAGCACAACUUCAAGACUUCCCUCGCCCCGGAGAAGCACGGUACCCUUUUGACAGGAACUCGGUGUUCGUUAGCGGUGUUUGCUCUGCCUGACAUGACAUUUAAAAGCCCUAGACCUGUACCACAUUUAUUCAACGUUGUCAUAUUCAGCAAAACAUUUAAGCGGUUAUUCAGCUUGAGGCACCUAAGUAGUCCCAGUGUCAACAACAGGACUCCUCAACUGCUUAAAAUUUAUGCAUGUGUUGAAGUACCUUGCUGAAUCAGGGCUUCAAGCCCUAAUAGCCUGCUGAACUAGAGCAAUCACGCCAGUCUUUACCCACAGAGCCUCACAAGCACACACGGCAUGCAACAUAAUUUUAGUUAAUUGGAUGGAAUUUCAUAAGUACGGUCUGCGACCUCUGAGAGCUUUGAAAACUAAUCAUGCCGGUGCCACCCUGCGUACCUGCUUGUGUGAUUAGUCACAUCCACCUGUACGAGACGUGGCACUGUCAUCCGGUAUGCUCUGUGAUCUGUCCCAGAGGCUGGCACAUCUUCAGCGGUGGGUGGGUGGAUUUCCCCCGUGGCUGUCACACGGCGCGGCGUCGCUACCUGUGAUAACCGAGGAGCAGAUAGACAUCCCUUGCGCUCCCAUUUUUAAUGUGUUUUGCUACAUCCCCCUUCCAAAGACUAAUAAUUUCCGCUGGGCAAGAAUAUUGUCAGUCUGGUAUCAGAUAACUUCUCAGACAGAGAGCACACAUACCCUGCACUGCCUGUUUUAUCUAAUAAAGACUUUGCCA